GAUCCUGGCUCAGGAUGAACGCUGGCGGCGUGCUUAACACAUGCAAGUCGAGGGGCAGCAUGGUCUUAGCUUGCUAAGACCGAUGGCGACCGGCGCACGGGUGAGUAACGCGUAUCCAACCUGCCUUACACUCUUGGACAGCCUUCUGAAAGGGAGAUUAAUACAAGAUGUUAUCAUGAGUAAGCAUUUUCGCAUGAUUAAAGGUUUACCGGUGUAAGAUGGGGAUGCGUU
rnacentral:rRNA from 1 species